rnacentral:sRNA from 1 species
AACAUUACCGAGUACAACUCCCAAACCCCUGUGAACAUACCAAUGUUGCCUCGGCGGAUCAGCCCGCUCCCGGGGUAAAACGGGACGGGCCAGAGGACCCCUAAACCUAUAUGUAACUUCUGAGUAAAACCAUAAAUAAACCCUCAAAACUGGAAAAAGGCCUUGGAAAAAGGGCCCCAACAACGGAUCUCUUGGUUCUGGCAUCGAUGAAGAACGCAGCAAAAUGCGAUAAGUAAAAGGUGUGAAUGCAGAAUUCAGUGAAUCAUCGAAUCUGAACGCACAUUGCGCCCGCCAGUAUUCUGGCGGGCAUGCCUGUUCGAGCGUCAUCAACCCUCAAGCCCCCGGGUGGUGUUGGGGAUCGGCGAGCCCUUGCGGCAAGCCGGCCCCGAAAGGUCUAGUGGCGGUCUCGCUGCAGCUUCCAUUGCGUAGUAGUAAAACCCUCGCAACUGGUACGCGGCGCGGCCAAGCCGUUAAACCCCCAACUUCUGAAUGUUGACCUCGGAUCAGGUAGGAAUACCCGCUGAACUAAGCAUAUCAAAAGCGGGAGGAAUUGCAGAA